AACGCACGAGACCUGCGGACCUGCGGAGGGAUCAUUACCGGAGAGAGGCGACUCUCGAAGGCCCAAACCCAUUGUGAAUCUACUCUUCUCGUGCUUCGGCAGGCGGUCCCAGGGGGGACCUCUGCGUAAAGGCGCCUGCCGAAGGAACCAGAACUCUGCUGUACGGAUGUCCUCUGAGGAGUUGUUAGGCCUCGUUAGGGGUCGAGAAUCGCUAAAAACUUUCAACAACGGAUCUCUAGA
rnacentral:misc_RNA from 1 species